CAGUAGCCGCGGUAAUACGUAGGUGGCAAGCGUUGUCCGGAAUUAUUGGGCGUAAAGGGCUCGCAGGCGGUUUCUUAAGUCUGAUGUGAAAGCCCCCGGCUCAACCGGGGAGGGUCAUUGGAAACUGGGAAACUUGAGUGCAGAAGAGGAGAGUGGAAUUCCACGUGUAGCGGUGAAAUGCGUAGAGAUGUGGAGGAACACCAGUGGCGAAGGCGAUUCUCUGGUCUGUAACUGACGCUGAGGAGCGAAAGCGUGGGGAGCGAACAGGAUUAGAUGCCCCUGUAGUCCCUGUCUCUUAUAC
rnacentral:rRNA from 1 species